rnacentral:tRNA from 2 species
UCCCUGGUGGUCCAGUGGCUAGGAUUUUGUGCUUCCAGUGCAGGAAGCCCAGGUUCAAUCCCUGGUCAGGGAA